rnacentral:lncRNA from 1 species
UUCUGCACUGCAGGGUAGCCACCAGAAGAUCAUCAUUGACGGUAGGAAGGAAGGUUCUUGCACUUUCUCACCAAAGUUUGUGCAAUAGCAGGAGGUGUAUGAUUGAUCGCUCUCUCUCUCUCUUUUCUCCAAGCAACGUACAAUAGAUUGUAAAAAUCAUUAAUAAAUGUUGGUUUAUCAUUUGUAAAACCGUAGGCGCUUCCACAGUUUCUGGAAUCCUUGAUUUAUUUUUAUUCGGCUGAGUCUUACAACCCAAUCAUCGGGAACAAAGAGCAGUUCAAGUAGCUGAAAUAUACAAGUGUUGUAAGAUUGAUGUUGGAUAGGGUGGCAGAAACUG